GCUAUAGAGCCACGUAACCAUUGAGUUGGAAGGAGCUCUAUGUUCAAUGCAGGAAUUCCAGCUAGAGCAUUCCCAGUUGACUCCAACUUACAGUCACCCUAUCAAAUGGUUUUCAUUAUGAGAUUUCUUCAGAAGAGGUUUGUCGUCACCUUCCUCUAAGGUUGAGAGAAUAUUACUUGCUCAAU
rnacentral:lncRNA from 11 species